GAUGAACGCUGGCGGCGUGCCUAAUACAUGCAAGUCGAGCGAACAGACGAGGAGCUUGCUCCUCUGACGUUAGCGGCGGAAGGGGGAGUAAAACGUGGAUAACCUACCUAUAAGACUGGGAUAACUUCGGGAAACCGGAGCUAAUACCGGAUAAUAUAUUGAACCGCAUGGUUCAAUAGUGAAAGACGGUUUUGCUGUCACUUAUAGAUGGAUCCGCGCCGAAUUAGCUAGUUGGUAAGGUAACGGCUUACCAAGGCAACGAUGCGUAGCCGACCUGAGAGGGAGAUCGGGCACGCUGGAACUGAGACACGGUCCAGACUCCUACGGGAGGCGGCAGUAGGGAAUCUUCCGCAAUGGGCGAAAGCUUGACGGAGCAACGCCGCGUGAGUGAUGAAGGUCUUCGGAUCGUAAAACUCUGUUAUUAGGGAAGAACAAAUGUGUAAGUAACUAUGCACGUCUUGACGGUACCUAAUCAGAAAGCCACGGCUAACUACGUG
rnacentral:rRNA from 1 species